AUUGAACGCUGGCGGCAUGCUUUACACAUGCAAGUCGGACGAGUGGCGAACGGGUGAGUAAUAUAUCGGAACGUGCCGGGUAGUGGGGGAUAACUAAUCGAAAGAUUAGCUAAUACCGCAUACUAUUCGAGCGGCCGAUAUCUGAUUAGCUAGUUGGUGGGGUAACGGCCUACCAAGGCGACGAUCAGUAGCGGGUCUGAGAGGAUGAUCAGCCACACUGGGACUGAGACACGGCCCAGACUCCUACGGGAGGCAGCAGUGGGGAAUUUUGGACAAUGGGCGCAAGCCUGAUGCAGCCAUGCCGCGUGUCUGAAGAAGGCCUUCGGGUUGUAAAGGACUUUUGUCAGGGAAGCGUUACCUGAAGAAUAAGCACCGGCUAACUCCGUGCCAGCAGCCGCGGUAAUAC
rnacentral:rRNA from 1 species